rnacentral:rRNA from 1 species
GAGACAGCAGCAGCCGCGGUAAGACAGAGGAUGCAAGCGUUAUCCGGAAUGAUUGGGCGUAAAGCGUCUGUAGGUGGCUUUUCAAGUCCGCCGUCAAAUCCCAGGGCUCAACCCUGGACAGGCGGUGGAAACUACCAAGCUGGAGUACGGUGGGGGCAGAGGGAAUUUCCGGUGGAGCGGUGAAAUGCGUUGAGAUCGGAAAGAACACCAACGGCGAAAGCACACUGCUGGGCCGACACUGACACUGAGAGACGAAAGCUAGGGGAGCAAAUGGGAUCAGAUACCCGUGUAGUCCCUGUCUCUUAUAC